rnacentral:rRNA from 1 species
UACGAAGGGGGCUAGCGUUGCUCGGAAUCACUGGGCGUAAAGCGCACGUAGGCGGGUCUUUAAGUCAGGGGUGAAAUCCCGGAGCUCAACUCCGGAACUGCCUUUGAUACUGAAGAUCUUGAGUCCGGGAGAGGUGAGUGGAACUCCGAGUGUAGAGGUGAAAUUCGUAGAUAUUCGGAAGAACACCAGUGGCGAAGGCGGCUCACUGGCCCGGUACUGACGCUGAGGUGCGAAAGCGUGGGGAGCAAACAGG